AUCAUUGUUUCCUUCUAUAACUUGAAAAGGUGCGUCGUUUUGCAAACCCUUAUAACCCUCAAACACGCCAUUUCACUGCACCACUAAAUCACGCCUCAAAUUUUUUCGUGUCUCUCUCAAGAUUUACUGUUCAUCUUUUGCUUCCCUGCUACGUAACCCUGCAAAACUUCGUUCCAUCUCAAAUGGCUACUUCACAAUCUCAAGCUGGCGACUC
rnacentral:lncRNA from 1 species